GGGCUUGCUGGGUACUGAUGUGACUAAGAAAGGGACAUGAUGUAAGGGAAAGGACCUCAAAUUCUUGUGAAUGUGCACAUUCUGGUAAAUAUUCCUUUGGGCUAAUAGUGACACAGGUGUGUGCACAGGUGCACCAGGGAUCAUAGGGGAUUUCCUAGCAUUAGUAUGCUUCUAGUUUUAGAUAACUCCCUCCUUUAUUCCCUGAGCCCUUGUAUUUUCCUCAUCUUCCUCUUUCAAGGCCUCUGUCCUCCCCAUUUUGUUUAUCCAUGGGCUGGGGCUUGUGUCUUUGCUAUUGUCUUGUUCCUAGAGUCCCAGGCUUUGGGAGGCCAGCUCCAGGUAGUGUCCUCCCUGCCUCUCCAUCUUGUAAUGAGAUGCAGUAUUUACUUGUAACAUAGGAUCAUUUGGAACAGGAGUUCUGAGGAGGACAGAAUGAGGGCUUUGCUGUUGACUGACUUGAAUCACGGUUUCUCCUCAAGCUGUAGGCUCCAGAGCUUCCUAACAUAGUAAAAUGUCAAGAGCAGACAGGGGAGCUAUUAGUGUCUUUCUACCUCUCAUUAAAGGUGUUUUAACC
rnacentral:lncRNA from 1 species